rnacentral:rRNA from 1 species
CAGUAGCCGCGGUAAUACGUAGGGUGCAAGCGUUAAUCGGAAUUACUGGGCGUAAAGGGUGCGUAGGCGGUUAGUUAAGUCUGUCGUGAAAUCCCCGGGCUCAACCUGGGACCUGCAUCUGUGACUGUAUAGCUAGAGUACGGUAGAGGGGGAUGGAAUUCCGCGUGUAGCAGUGAAAUGCGUAGAUAUGCGGAGGAACACCGAUGGCGAAGGCAAUCCCCUGGACCUGUACUGACGCUCAUGCACGAAAGCGUGGGGAGCAAACAGGAUUAGAUACCCCAGUAGUCCCUGUCUCUUAUAA